GGUAGUGGCAUCUUCCUGUUAAUAGCUUGCACCUUCACGGGUUCCGCCAAACCAGUUUGGAUUACCUUGUCUUUGGUCUCUUCGAUAACAGUAGGUUUCUUACUAGGGCAAUUAUAUGCAUAAUGCCCUCUUGCAAGACAUUUGUAACACUUAGGAUUCCGGCUAGGGACUUCCUUAGCAGAAGGCGAUCCAGUUAACUCCCCCAGAGUUGGC
rnacentral:lncRNA from 1 species